GUACUUGCUUCAGCAGCACAUAUACAAAAUUGCAACGACAUAGAGAAAAUUAGCAUGGCCUCUGCACAAGGAAGACAAACAAAUCUGUAAAGCAUUCCAUAUAAAA